GUUCCUCUGCUGGUACGCACAUGUGUAUGUCCCACUGCUUCUUGCAGAGAUGUUCAGCAGCAUGGAGUAGAUGACCACGUCCUCUUGGGCUUUCAUGUUGUACAGCUCCAUCCCAUCCUUGCAGAAGACAAUCCGGGUAGCAGGUAUUAUCUUCUGAAGGACACACUGAGCCAGGACAACUUCCCCUUCCUGAGCUCUGGAAGGGUUAAGCAGCAGGGCUGGAGCCUGGAGAUUACCUGGAGAGAUGGCAUGAGAAUGCCCUUGGCAUCAUUAGUUGCAAAACAUACUGCAUUCCAAGGCCCAGAGAAUCUUCUCUCCAGGGGAGGACACUGAGAAUUCAGAGAGAAUAAUGCUUUUCUCUCUUCCCAUCUCCUCCCCCACCAUGUCUUCAUUUUCUGGACCCAUUCUCAAACUUGCCAUCAGCCCUGGAGCUACAGAUGUCCUGGGUGCUCACACCAGUACCUACACCAAGGGGUAAAGUAUGUUUUGUUUAGUGAGACGAUAUCCUGCUCAUCCACAUGUUCCUACUCAUGUCCCCGCACUUCACCACUGGAGUAACCACUCCACCACUGUAUCCCCCUCCUGUAUCUCCGACAUCUCCUUCUGAGCAAGCCCAAGCGCAUUUCAAGUGGGCUUUCUGUUCCAGAUGCAGUCUCCCUCAUCUCAAAAUCACACAGCAUUCAUUUAUCUUGUAUAUUAGGCAUCUGUCUCCAUCCUGCAUCUGUUCCUUCUCUACCCUUGGCACCAUCCCAAGCCUUUUUCUGGUGGGUUUCCUGUUUCAGGCAUGGUUCCCUGCUCCCCACAGCAUUCCCAACUCACCAAACACAAGCAGCAGGAGGGCGGGGAUACAAGAACACGUCAUGGCCGACUCCAACUGCCUCCACAUCUUUUGGAGAUCUCUCCUCACGGCGCCUGCUUUGCUGUGAGCUGGGUGCAGAUGGUCACAGAUUUCUGUAGCAACCCUAAGAUUCUCCCUGAGGUGUUUGUGCAGCUGAUGGAGCGUUACCCAAAGUGAGAG
ensembl:lncRNA